GCUUUCAAUAAAACGUCUUUCAACCAAAAUCCAACAAUUCAAAUCAAAGUGGGAUUUUGUAAUUAUAACAGAGUACGGUGCAAUCUUUUUCAAGGAUAUCAUACGGAUUUUUUCCUACUCCGAUCUUGUUGUUACGUGUUGUCGCAAUUGACGUGUGUUAGAGGGAUUGUCAAGAGAAUCAACUCGGGUAUGUUAAGGCUAUCCCUUCUUUCUUUUGGCAUGAUCCAUACGAUGCAAACGAAAAGUGCAAAUGCACAACUUCUAUAAAUGACUCUAUUCAUAGAAAUGCUAGAGAUGCUUAUGUUCUUGAUUCUCCAUAUGUCUUGCUAUUCUAUCAUAUGUUCAUGUGUCUCAGAAAAAUAUGUAAGUUGAAAAAGUUUACUUCAUGAUAUUAUUCAAAGGCAUAAUGGUCUUAUGACACUCCAAGAGAUUUUAUUGACAUACUUCUCAUGCAUUGCAUUCAUGUACAUUUACCCAUGACCAGAUGGCGUUAUAUACAUGUGUGUGUGUAUAUAUAUUAUAUGUAUAUGGAAUAUAGGAAAAGGUUACGGCGUUAUAUAUGCACCACCACCUGAUCAGCUGGUAUACGUUGAUGAUUUGCCCACAGUGGCCGAGAUGAUAUGAUGGGAUGCCCUCAGAGGCUUGAUGAUGUUAUGAACACAUAUACCCAUGCACGGUACGACAUUCAUAUGCAUAUUCAUGACAUUAUAAAAAUGAAAUGAUUUACAAAGCUAUGCAAACGUACAUGUCGAGUCUUUUACUUCAUGUCUAUUAUUUACUGAUUUCAUUCCUUACAUACUCGGAACAUUAUUUGUACUGACGUCCUUUUUUCCUUGGGACACUGCGUUUCAUGCCUGCAGGUCCCGAUUGACAGGUCGAGAGCCCUCCAAGUAGGCUAUCAGCUCAGCGGAAGAUGUUGGUGCGCUACAUUUGCUUCAGAGUUGCUUGUUUGGUUAGUAUGAUUUAGAUGUGUAUUCUUAGAGGCUUGUAGACAAAUGGUAUGUACGCAAAAUUUUGUAUGGCCUUGUCGGUCUAUGUUCAGUGUACGAGUGGUUAUGUUAGCCUUAUAGGCCCGUAUCUUAUGUAUAAGUUGGUUUCAUAUGUUGUAUUCUACUUAUCUCAUGGCAGCCUUCCGGCUCAAUUAUUUAUAAUAGUAUGAAAUGAAAAUAUAUGUUAUGUUGGUACUCGGUUGAGUAAGGUAUCGGGUGCCCGUAAUGGCCUAUCGGUUUGGGUCGUGACACUUUGACUCUUCUAAAAGUUGCGAAUACCAUUCCAAUGCCCAGGGGCACAAUGUUGAAAGUUGUCGGGAUUUGAAAAGAGAAAUAGAACGGAUGAUCCAGGAAAAACUGAUUGAAAUUGGAGAAGGCCCUAGUGAUUCUGAUGAGCAAAUUGGUGGCUAAAU
rnacentral:lncRNA from 1 species